AGCCUACGUGUGGGUCAGCUGGGGAAGACAUCAGGAGCAGGUGCUCUCAGGAAUCUAACCCUGAAUUUCCCAGGGGAAAAUGACACACACACACAGUGACUUCUGUGCUUUGGAGCAGAAACCUUGGCACAGUAAAAACACUACAGUCCCUGGACACUAGUUGACUUUGAUCCACAGCCCUAAAGGCAGAACUCGUCAGAUUUGCUUGAUAUGGUCCUAUGCACGUAGGAAAGUUCAUGUGUGUUCAGAGUCAAGGCUGCGGCGAGGUCAUAAUUCAGCACAGGUGCUCUUCCUGCCUCAAGCCCCCACUGCAAGUCAACACUCAGUCCCAACAGCACUGCCUUCCACAGGGUCCCACCUCAAGCCGACCCGGUUUAGGUCUCAUUGAGAAGUCUUGGAAUUCUAGAGUGGAUAUUGAAGCUAGAAAGACUCAGAAGUUCACACUGGUCAACAACCACCUGUGGUAAAGACUGAGAAUAAGCACUUGGCCUUAGAGAUGGCAGGGCCCAGUCCUGCAUUCCUCCCAGGAUGGCUUAGACUGAUAAAAGAUGGAGACUGAGACGCAGACCUGGAUAUGUGUGGCUGAAGGAGACUAUGUCACCCCAACACUCAGGGAG
rnacentral:lncRNA from 1 species